rnacentral:rRNA from 1 species
UACGUAGGGGGCAAGCGUUGUCCGGAAUCAUUGGGCGUAAAGCGCGUGUAGGCGGCUAGGUAAGUCUGCUCUGAAAGCCCGGGGCUCAACCCCGGGAGGCGGGUGGAUACUGUCUAGCUCGAGUCCGGAAGGGGCUACUGGAAUUCUCGGUGUAGCGGUGAAAUGCGUAGAUAUCGAGAGGAACACCUGCGGCGAAGGCGGGUAGCUGGGCCGACACUGACGCUGAGGCGCGAAAGCCAGGGGAGCGAACGGG